rnacentral:sRNA from 1 species
UAGCUUCACACUCUCAUUUCAUCUCAUUCCAAACUCGUUUGGUAACCCGUUUUGCCAAAAUCGCAACACAGACCAAGAAUAAUACAUUGUGCGAAAAACCAACUUUGAGAGCAAAUUCCUAUCAAACCACAAUGAAUCAGAGGAAUAUAUUUAUAUCCUUAGAAAGAUCUCAUUUCCAAGAUUCCAGAAAAUCUUUCAAUGCUCAAAUCAGACUUCUAUAGCCAAGUCAAACGAAGGUGACAAAGUCAGACAAACACCACUUCACCAAACAGCAGCUUCUUUAAGUCUGCUCAAAAAUUAUGUUUGUCGAUAAACUUCAUAGGCCAAUAACAUUUAGCCACGUAUGGGUCCCUUAAAUAUCAAAAAAUCCCUUUCAUAAAGAGCGUCCUUAUCUAUUUUGGUAUUUUUCAUUUAAUUUUGGGCCUCUGGAAGAGUCUGCCACACAAAAAAAACCCAUAAAGACUUGCCGUUACAACUGCUCUAACCGGCACUCGCCGUCAACGUAUUAAAAACAUACACAAAGACUACGUCAACGACUACGGUAACAAAACAAACAAUAAUCUACGGUAGUGUUUGUUGCUGCCGCUGCCGCUGCGACGAAACGAACAAACUAGUU